UUUAGGCCUGUGUUAGGCUGGCAACCCAUUAAAACUCCUCUGCUUUUUAGCCGGUCUGGAGCUAAUAAGCCGGCCCCUCCCAAUUUACACAUCUCCUGUGAGAUCCAGUGUCUCUCUGUCACUCAUUACCAAGCUCCUUACUAAAUGUCAUCACAAAGAUGCCACAUCACCCCUCUUAGUCAUCUCCCCACUUCCUCUUGCUGGCCAUGGCCAGAAAGAAAUCAGGGGCCGUAGGGAGGCCUAGAAAGUGACCACAGAGUUGGGGGUGGCUGUGGGAAGUGGAUGGGAAUGGCCACUGCUGAGCUGGCCACAGAGACUGUGACAAAGACAAAGGCCUCUGUGUUUGGGAUGGCAGGGAGGGGGCCAGAGGCCGAGUCAGGGCUGGCAUGCUGAUAGUCUGGGAAAGGCCUCCCAGGGCAGAGGAAAGCCCACAAUGCCACUCUGAGUUGGCCGCUCUUAGCACUUGGAAGUAGCUUAGUUGG
rnacentral:lncRNA from 1 species